rnacentral:rRNA from 1 species
AUGUUAAUGUUUUUGGGAGUUGCCACUAGUGAAAGUAUGAUCCCUAGGCCUUGUUUCCACCAUUGCAAUACCAUUUGUGCUCAUGUUUACCACUUGUUUGCUUGCUGUAUUUUUUAUUACAGAUUUAUAUUACUUUGCUUUGCCACUCCUAUCAUCCAUAUUUUACCAUCUCUUCGCCGAACUAGUGCACCUAUACAACUCCUAGUUGUAUUAGGUGUGUUGGGGACACAAGAGACUUCUUGUAUCUUAGUUGCAGGGUUGCUUGAGAGACCAUCUUCAACCUCUACUUCCCUGAGUUCGAUAAACCUUAGGUCAUCCACUUGA